rnacentral:rRNA from 1 species
AGUGAACGCUGGCGGUAGGCCUAACACAUGCAAGUCGAACGGCAGCACAGUAAGAGCUUGCUCUUACGGGUGGCGAGUGGCGGACGGGUGAGGAAUACAUCGGAAUCUACUUUUUCGUGGGGGAUAACGUAGGGAAACUUACGCUAAUACCGCAUACGACCUACGGGUGAAAGCAGGGGAUCUUCGGACCUUGCGCGAUUGAAUGAGCCGAUGGCGGAUUAGCUAGUUGGCGGGGUAAGGGCCCACCAAGGCGACGAUCCGUAGCUGAUCUGAGAGGAUGAGGGGCCACACUGGAACUGAGACACGGUCCAGACUCCUACGGGAGGCAGCAGUAGGGAAUCUGGCGCAAUGGGCGAAAGCCUGACGGAGCAACGCCGCGUGAGUGAUGAAGGUCUUCGGAUCGUAAAACUCUGUUAUUAGGGAAGAACAGAUGUGUAAGUAACUGUGCACAUCUUGACGGUGCCUAAUCAGAAAGCCACGGCUAGCUACGUG